AUACGGAGGGUGCAAGCGUUAAUCGGAAUUACAGGGCGUAAAGCGCGCGUAGGCGGCUUGAUAAGUCGGAUGUGAAAUCCCCGGGCUUAACCUGGGAAUUGCAUUCGAUACUGUCAGGCUAGAGUGUGGUAGAGGGAAGUGGAAUUUCCGGUGUAGCGGUGAAAUGCGUAGAUAUCGAAAAGAACAUCAGUGGCGAAGGCGGCUUCCUGGAUCAACACUGACGCUGAGGUGCGAAAGCGUGGGGAGCAAACAGGAUUAGAAACCCUAGUAGUCC
rnacentral:rRNA from 1 species